GACGUAGGGCGCGAGCGUUGUCCGGAUUUAUUGGGCGUAAAGAGCUCGUAGGCGGCUUGUUGCGUCGACUGUGAAAACCCGCGGCUUAACUGCGGGCUUGCAGUUGAUACGGGCAGGCUAGAGUUCGGUAGGGGAGACUGGAAUUCCUGGUGUAGCGGUGAAAUGCGCAGAUAUCAGGAGGAACACCGAUGGCGAAGGCAGGUCUCUGGGCAUUAACUGACGCUGAGGAGCGAAAGCUAGGGGAGCGAACGGG
rnacentral:rRNA from 1 species